GAUAGGGUUUUAUGGUUUAGAAUUGGUUUGAAUGGAACCUAUUGGAGCUAGUUAGAUGGUUCUAGCUCGAAUUUGAAGCUUGAGCCAUGGAUUUCCACAUUGUUGAAACCUAGGGCACUUCAAAACCCUAUAAUGGUAGAAUUUUAGGGCUUCAUUUAUAUGCUAUAAAAAUGGAUUUAUUGGAAUCCAAUGAUGCUAAAUAGAUGAUUGUUGCCUAAAUCAUGGAUCAAUUUUGUGAAUUUUUGCACAAGUUGAAACCUAGGGUUCAAAAUGCAAUUUUUGGAAAUAUGGGGGUUUGAUCUCAAUUAACCCUCUGUAAACCUAAUUGCUAGGUCUAUAAAAACGUUGGCGAAGACGGUUCGUCGAUCCGACGAGCGGGUGCGGAGUUAUCGCCAAAACAAGUACUUGAGGGUUUGGUUGCCCCGAGGAGUUGAAGCGACGUACGAGGAUCGCGGCGUUGGGUUUUCUAAUUUCGUGGCACUACCAAGAGGGCCGAGCGCGAGUUCACACGGCGAGGAUCGUGGUAAGGGCUUAGCGCCCUAGAUGCAUUAGUUUACUUUCCUUUGCAUUAGAGCCACCCUUUUGUACUUGAGAGUAGAUGAUGUAUAGGGUGUGAGGAAUCAUUUUGGAAAUGUAAACUCAUGUUGUAUUUGGCAGUUUAAAUGUAAAUCGAUGUAUUAAAGAGGUUGAAUGAAUGUAAUAGAUAGACCUUCUCUCUUUAUCGUUACUUGUAUUCUUUA